rnacentral:rRNA from 1 species
CGCGUAGGCGGUUUGUCAAGUCGGUUGUGAAAGCCCUCGGCUCAACCGAGGAAUUGCAUCCGAUACUGGCAGGCUAGAGUAUGGUAGGGGAGAGUGGAACUCCUGGUGGAGCGGUGAAAUGCGUAGAUAUCAGGAGGAACGCCGGUGGCGAAAGCGACUCUCUGGACCACAACUGACGCUGAGGCGCGAAAGCCAGGGGAGCGAACG